rnacentral:rRNA from 1 species
UACGUAGGGUGCGAGCGUUAAUCGGAAUUACUGGGCGUAAAGCGUGCGCAGGCGGUUUUCCAAGACAGAUGUGAAAUCCCCGGGCUCAACCUGGGAAUGGCAUUUGUGACUGGGAGGCUAGAGUGUGUCAGAGGGGGGUAGAAUUCCACGUGUAGCAGUGAAAUGCGUAGAGAUGUGGAGGAAUACCGAUGGCGAAGGCAGCCCCCUGGGAUAACACUGACGCUCAUGCACGAAAGCGUGGGGGAGCAAACAGG